rnacentral:lncRNA from 1 species
UAGAUUUAUCUUCAUUAAGUUUUACAGAUUUUUUUUUUCUGAAGGAUGCCUAUCAUUAAUACAAUGUAAUUUUUAACUGUAUAAUUCUUGCAACUUCCAUUAAAUGUUAUCUAUAUUCAGAGAAAAAAUUAUAGGCUGUUAAUAUUAUAUUGAAAUAUGAACUCAUCUAAGAAUUAUAUGCAUAGAAUGUCAUCAGCUUUGUUAAGCUAUAUCCUCUUUAAUAUAUAUAUUUUUAAAAAACAUUAAUGCAAAUUUUCAUGCAUACUGAUAGUAAUACUCUUGUUGGAAUAAUAUAAUAUCAUUUUAAUGCAAGAUUUAGAUUAUAAAGUUCCAUGCAAAUUAAAAAUGGAAAGUAAUUUUUGAGAUUAAUACAUCAAGUUGUUAAAGAAGCAAAUAUUGAAUUGUUUAUUUUCUAUUUGCAUAACCCCUUAUUAGCCAACUUGAGUAGACCUAGUUUGGUGAUAACCAAUCUACUACUUAAGGGCAUUGACUACAUAGUUGAAAUUUACAUUUUUUGGAUUAAAUUAAAUCUAGAGGUUUACUCUCCAAAAUGUUACUAUCUUCAGAGUUUGAGAUGAUAAUUAUACCAAAGCAAAAAUUGUACUGGGUUUUGGUAAGUACAGUUUAUUCUAUGCUAUUACAAUGCAGUAUAGAGGUCAGAAUGCAGUCUGAAUUCAAUUCUGCCGAAGCGAAAGGCUAGAAAGGAAUUCUAGCUGAGGUGCAGUGGGUUAAGAAUCAGACUGCAAGUAGCUCAGGCCCUGUGGAGGCAAGAGUUCAAUCCCUGACCAAGGCAGUGGGUUAAAGGAUCCUGCCUUGGGGCAGUGAUGCAUAGGUUACAGCGGCAGCUGGGAUUCAAUCUCUGAACCUGGGAACUUACGUAUGCCGCAGCAGCAGCAGCCGUUAAAAACAAAGAAAAAAAAAAGCUAGAGAAUUUUAAGAGCUGUGAUGCAGGGGAUAAAGGCCAACUGUGUGUGCUAACUGGCCCUUCCCAAAUGAAAAGUAAACUUUUUCCUGUCUUCAUGACAGGAGGUAGUUUUGCAUUUUGGGGGAAGGCUCUGGCCCCCUGAAGUCCACUAGGCUCCUGCUUUCCUAUAGGAGCCCAUUUCCUUGUUAAUUUCAUUUCAAAGGCGUGCCUCCCAGAUCCUUGGGAAAAUCCUAGGAGGUAAACUUGACCAGAGGCUUUUAAAACAGAUUUACAUCUCAAAGGGGCAGAGAAGGACGUUAUAAUUGUUCUAAAGAAAAUUCCCUAAGAAAAUAUCUCUGUAGUUCGUCCACCUGGAUUCUGUUAGGUUGGGGGAGAGAGAGAAAGGGGGUCUGGGGCCUAGAGGCUGAAAGAUGCCUUUCUAGAAGUUUCAUUAAACUGAGGGAAACCUUAUGGUCAUCUUGGGCAGUUGUAAGAUUGGUAGGAAAAGCCUAGAAUGAACUGCCUAAUUGAUUUAAUUUUAGGUAGUUCAAUUUUUUUUAAGUAUCAAUUGAGAAUAUACUUUAUUAACUUGAUAAUAUGAUUCUUACCAUGCAUGGAUUUUCUUGUAAUUCCAUAUAAAUGUUAUUUUAAGUAUUUACUAGUGAGUUGGAUGAGCUGUAAGUGUUCAUUAAUUCUUCAUGUCCAGGAGGACAAAGAUUGAAGUUCUUAUGAUUACUUUGCUUCCAAAACUGGACCUAUCUUAAUUUUAUCACCUUUCGUUCUAUUUGCUACAAUAUAUUAUCAUCGUAGAAUUGUGAGAGAGAAAAGAUUUACUCUGUUUGGAGUAGAUAGAACUGGCAUUUGGUAUGUAUUCUGUGUUAAUUAAGUCACCAUUCCUCUCAUUCCUUUUUUAUCAGUUGAGGAGUGGCCUAGAGAUUUGCAUUUCCCACAGUAAACAGUCUGUGGGGAAUGCAAAUUUCCUAUAAUAAAGGAGGCCUGUGGAGGUGUUACUCCCUGGAGCCCUUAAGCCACAAAAGUUAAUCAAUAUCCAUAUCCAAAGAAUGUAUCAGAGCCCAUGUUCCUACACUGACUACCUGAGUUAAUAUUUUGUCUCAAAUUUUCAUUAAUUGGUUAACUUAUGUAUAUAGUAUCAGUGCAAAUAGUUGUGAUUUGGUAUGCAUAUUUUUAUAUGAAAUGAGUAUUUUAUAUAUAAGAAAGAGAUACAGGUGCAUUUAAACUAAAGAACUUCUUAUUGUUAAAUUCUGCUUCCAAUAUUAAAAUUAUUCUAAAAUGUAUUUCCAAAUCUGCUAAACCUUUGUUUCAAGAUUGUCCCCAGUAUGGCUUGAGUUAAACACUGGAAAACAAUGACCAUUGUAAGAAGAAUCAUACAGUAAUGAUCUCUUUCGGAUUGAGAGAAAUCAAAUCUGUUUGAUUAUUUCUGUAUAAUCUAUAUUUCUGCAUUAUCCAAGCAGAAGGAUUAUUUUGUACUCAGUUAAAACAUUAGGAGUAUUAUGGACUGAAUGUAUCUGCCCCCCAAAAUUUAGAUGCUGAAGCCCUACCCCGCCCCCAGUGUGAUUUAUUUGGAGAUGGAACCUUUGGGAAGUAGUUCCUUUUGGAUGAGGCCAUGAGGGUGGGACCUUCCUCAUAAAGGGAUCAGUGACCAUAUAAUAGGAGGAAAGAGACCAAAGUGCUCCCUGCCACCUGAGGACAAAACGAAAGGGUGGCCGUCCAUAAGCCAGGAAGGGGGUUCCCACCGGGAACAAAAUCUGGGUGGUGCUUUGAUCUUGGACCUCCCAGCUCCCAGAACUGUGAGAGAGAAAUGUCCAUUGUUUAAGCCACUCAGACUGCAUAUGCUGUUUUGUAAUACAGCCAAAACUGAAUAAGACAAGGAGAUUAUAGAUAUUUCAAUGAGUAUAUCGAAUGCUAAAUUUCUGUCCUUAUAGUUUACAAUGAGUGGUUAGUAUAAUUCAAUUUAAAUAUCCUAUAAUUGAUUAAACAAUUUAUUUUAUCUCAUUUCAUAACUUACUCUGACCCUUUCUUCUUUUCAUAUUUCCACAAAUGUUUCUUGAGCACUUUCCAUAUGUUAGGCCCUUUUGUAGACACUGCAUGAGUCAAGGAAUUUACGGUAUUUAAUGAAUCCUCCCCAGAGUUUUCUAGAACUGAUAUUUUUAUGUUUAAGAGAAUGGACCGUAAAAGUUUACCUUGUACUACCUCACAGAUCUGGCCACAUUUUCUAAGAGGAAGAAAGCAUAAUUGUCUAAAUGUUUUUGUAGACGUGUCUUUAACUAAACAAUACACAUGUGAGAAAAUAAUGUACCUUUAAAAUACUGUUACACGCCAUACAAAUGGGAUAAAGUAUAGAAUAAAUUUCCUAUUUGUCUCAGCAUAAAAAAAAUACUGUUACACAAAUGUAAAAGCUAAGAUGAUUCAAAACAAAGUUUCAAGGGAUCGCUUUAGGAAAUUUCAAACUAAUUUUAGCGUGGAAAUAAGUAAUAUCCUCAUUCAGAUGAAAAUCCAAAUAACACAUAAAUAACUUUACAAAUACAGUAACACCUACUAAAAUGCUGUGUUUUGAAUUCCUUGAAUAACAUGUGUUUCCAAGUGUUUUCUAGCUCUCAAUAAUUUUUUAAAGUUUUCACAUACGGCAUAUAUUUAUUUUCUUGGCAUUUUACAUAAGUCCAUAUAUCCUGUAAUUCCAAUGGCAAAUAGCAGAAGAAUUUACACAUUCUCCCUGAAGAGACCCACCGUCACCCUAAACCCUAACUGUUUGUACAAGUAGAAUCAUGAGGAAAAUGAUCAUUUCAAAGUUAAAGUAACUCAGCACACAGAAAAAAUAUCUUAACCAGGAAGCAGCAGAAGCUAUAGCCCAUUGAAAUAGAUUCACUAGGAAUCCUCCUCAAUCAGGAAAGGAAUAUGCUCUAUUUCAAAUAGUUUAGUUAUUACUGUAAAAAUUUAAAUAUGCAUGCUUAAUUUCAAAGUCUAAUAUCAUUUUCCUUCUCCUGCAUAAUUUAGGAUCUUAGAAUAUUUUAACAUCAUUCACUUCCACAACUUAUUUGCAAUGAUUAUUUUUCAUCUUAAUUCAGUUUUUUUUCUUAAAUCCCAAAAGAUACAUUGAGUAUUGUUUUAUAUCAUCAACAUUUAUUUAAAUUUAUUCACAUAUCGCUCCCUUUUCUUUUUUUUCAUUUUGUCCUUUCUCUGUCAUUCUAGCAAAAUUGUCCUCCUGACUAAAUAUCCCAUUGUCCUCAGAAUUUCCUAUAGAGAGGGUCUGCUGAUGGAAAAAUCUCUUAAAAUAUGGUUUUUGUUUGUUUUUUGGAUUUGGGGGUUUUUGUGUGUUUUUUGGUUUUUUUUUUUUUUUGCUUUUUGCUUUUUAGGGCUGCACUUAUGUUAUGGCAUAUAGAGGUUCCAGGCUAGGGGUGGAAUUGAAACUACAGCUGCUGGCCUACACCACAGCCACAGCAACGCAGGAUCCAAGCCACCUCUGUGACCUACACCAUAGUUCACAGCAAUGCCAGAUCUUUAACCCACUAUGUAAGGCCAGGGAUUGAACCUGCAUCCUCAUGGAUCCUAGUUGGUUUCAUUAACAGCUGAGCCACAUAGGGAACUCUCAGUAUUUGUUUGUUUGAACAUUUUUAAAAUUUGAAUCUAUUUCUAGAAAUAUAUUUUUGUUCAAAAGUAUGCUACCAUGUUUUGGUUGUUUGAUUUUUUUCUAAUUCUAAAGAUAAACUUUGUUAGUAUAGAGGUUAGUUAUAAUGCAUUAAGGAAAUUGUUUAUAUGCAUUCCUAUUUUGACCAAUAUUCUGAAAGAAAAAAAUUAGAGGCAGUUCCUCAUUCAAACCAGCAUUGGAUCUGACAACUGGUUUGUAGAGAUACUGAGGCAGAAAUCAGAGUUUGGAACUGCUGAAGUGGCUAGAAUAUGUUCAGGGUAAUGAAGGUGAUACAGUCCUUUCUACAAAGAAAGGACUCCUAAAUUCUGUACAAAUGUUUUCAACAGUCUGAGAACUAGUUAUCACAUGUUCAUGGUGAUUCUUGACUAGAUGGAGAAGAGGGUAGUUGCUGGUCAGUUCAAAUCUGAAAGAAAUGACCAAAGCUCAUACAGUACAGGUGUCACUGCUAGCUUAGCCUCGGGAAGUCGCUUAAGAACCCGGAAUGGUGCAGCGGAAACGAAUGCGACUAGGAACCAUGAGGUUGUGGGUUUGAUCCCAGGCCUUGCUCAGAGGGUUAACGAUCCGGCAUUGCCGGGAGCUGUGGUGUAGUUUGCAGACAUGGCUCGGAUCCUGCAUUGCUGUGGCUGUGGUGUAGGCCAGCAGCUACAGCUCCGAUUAGACCUCUAGCCUGGGAACCUCCAUGUGCCGCAGGUGUAGCAACUAAAAUGACAAAAAACAAAAGACAAAAAAACAAAAACAAAAAACCAGAAUGUUCUGUUGGAAUAAGAACAUCCUUUUUUUUUUUUCCUUUCUAGGGCCGCACCCGCAGCACAUGGAGCUUCCCAGGGUAGGGGUUCAAUCAGAACUACAGCUGCUGGCCUAUGUCACAGGCACAGCAGCAUCAGAUUCCAGCCGCGUCUGUGACCUACACCACAGUUCAUGGCAAUGCCAGAUCGUUAACUCAAUGAGCAAGGCCAGAGAUCAAACCCACAACCUCAAGAUUCCUAGUCAGAUUCCUUUCUGCUUUGCCAUGAUGGAAACUCCAAAUAUCACUUUUCAUCAGAACAUAACACUUGAAUUAAGGAGAAAACAGAAAUAGACCCAUCCUAACUAAGCAUAAAAUAAAGCUUAACAUGAUGGAUAGAUUUAUGGCAUAGAUUGUGGUUCUGGUUUCAUAGCCAUAUAUUUCUCUGCAAACCUAUCAAGGUAUAUAUGUUAAAUAUGUAUAGAUUUUUGUAUGUCAAUCACACGUCAAUAAAGUAGU